ensembl:miRNA
GUCUGCGUCACUCAUGGUAUUUGAAGAUGCGGUUGACCAUGGUGUGUACGCUUAAUUUAUGACGUAGGACACAUGGUCUACUUCUUCUCAAUAUCACAUCUCACC